rnacentral:rRNA from 1 species
CCUACGGGUGGCAGCAGUGAGGAAUAUUGGUCAAUGGACGAAAGGCUGAACCAGCCAAGUAGCGUGAAGGAUGACUGCCCUAUGGGUUGUAAACCUCUUUUAUAAAGGAAGAAUACGAGCUACGUGUACCUUUAUGCCUGUACUUUAUGAAUAAGAAUCGGCUAACUCCGUGCCAGCAGCCGCGGUAAUACGGAGGAUGCGAGCGUUAUCCGGAUUUAUUGGGUUUAAAGGGUGCGUAGAUGGGUUUUUAAGUUAGUUGUUAAACCUUGGGGCUCACACCUUAAUUUGCAAUUAAUACUGUAAGACUUGAGUACAGAUGAGGUAGGCGGAAUAAGUUAAGUAGCGGUGAAAUGCUUAGAUAUAACUUAGAACCCCGAUAGCGAAGGCAGCUUACUAGACUGCGACUGACGUUGAAGCACGAGAGUGUGGGUAGCGAACAGGAUUAGAUACCCCUGUAGUC